rnacentral:lncRNA from 1 species
AGAUUGGCCAGGGGACCCAAAUGCCAGCCUUAGACACCCUACUUCUCUGAAAUUUCUUAUUUGAAUUUAUAACCCAGCCAAAAGUUUCCUGGUAAAGAGACUUUAUUAAUGACAUUUUCACUCCCACUUUCCUAUUUGGGCCCUACCUAUAUAGCUGGAAAUUUCGUGGGCCUAAUUUUCCUUCCUUCUUUAUUCCAGCUCCCACUUUCUGAGUGUGUAUCCAACAUAACCAUUAAGUUGUGUGUAUCUCUGUUUCUUCUUCUUUCUCUUUUCCCCAUCCUUGCCCUGAGGCCCCUGGAGUUUCUCCCGGAUGUCCCCCGCUCCCAGUUUGCACUGCCUCUGGUGGCCUCAAGACCCACCCUGUGCGGAGCCUUCUGGGGGAUGGGCCGGAUGCAGCCUGAGGGAGCUUUCACUGAGGCCUUGAAUAGACCUGGGGCCACACAGGAGCAGAACUGUCAGGUUCCAGGUCCAAGUUUGGUUGGGAAAGGAACAAUACUUAAUUAAAUGAGUUCCAGCUCCAAAACCCAUUCAGAAGGAGAGUGAAAGCCACUUCUCCACCAACGUUCUCAACGUGAUUAGGAGUGGAAAAUUGAGCAAAAUGUACCAUGUCUGCCUUAUUGGAAACCAAAAUAAGGUACAGAGAGCAUAAGGCUCAACAGACCUUUUUUGCCUCCUUUCCCAUCUUACCUUGGCUCCUAAGAAACUCUGUUUUAUAUUAGUUUUUUUUUUAUUGUUUACUUGAUUUUUUCCCUCAC